GUGGAGCAUGUGGCUUAAUUUGACUCAACGCGGGAAAUCUUACCGGGCCCGGACACACUGAGGAUUGACAGAUAUACGCUGCGUUAUGUCCUUCGGGACUGCGUGGCUCAAAGAUGCUAGUUCUUUCAUGAUUAUGUGAUAGGUGGUGCAUGGCCGUUCUUAGUUCGUGGAGUGAUCUGUCUGCUUAAUUGCGUAUCAAUAAUAGAGACCUAGUAUACGUGCAUUACUCAUGUGGUAGUGACCCCCUCUUCGCGGAGGCGCGUGUCGCACAUAUGGUAUGCGCACUGGUCUCAGAUAGCAACGAACGUGACCGUAUUCUAUUGUUGCAGUGAAUUAUACGUGCUGCUCUUUACCGAGUUAGUUACAUCCCACUGCUUAGUGUGCGCGGCGUAUUUCGGUACUCGCGUCACACAUUAAACUAUAGAGACCGCUGUUUCUUCUUUAAACCAGAGGAAGGAUAC
rnacentral:rRNA from 1 species